rnacentral:rRNA from 1 species
GACGGAGGGUGCUAGCGUUGUUCGGAAUUACUGGGCGUAAAGGGCGCGUAGGCGGUCUCGUCAGUCGGGUGUGAAAGCCCGGGGCUCAACCCCGGAACGGCACCCGAGACGGCGGGACUGGAGACCGGGAGAGGAGGGUGGAAUAGCCAGUGUAGAGGUGAAAUUCGUAGAUAUUGGCUGGAACACCGGUGGCGAAAGCGGCUCUCUGGCCCGGUUCUGACGCUGAGGCGCGAAAGCGUGGGGAG